rfam:Schistosoma mattheei strain Denwood, Zambia genome assembly, scaffold: SMTD_contig0016883
AACUUUUUGAAUCUGUGCUGAGAUUUAUUCAGACACCAACCCAUUGGGGCUGAUUAGACUUCCAAGAUAAACGAAGUU